GUGCUCACUUCGGCAGCACAUAUACAAAUGUUGGAAGUAUACAGAGAAGAUUAGCAUGGUUCCUGUACAAGGAUGACAUGCAAAUUCCUGAAGUGUUCCAGGCUAAA
ensembl:snRNA U6 U6 spliceosomal RNA